GUCCCUCAAACACACCAUGUUCUUUCACUGCCAUGUUUUUUCCUGAAAAGUUUUUCUCUUUUCUUUACUUGGAAAGAUUAUCAGCCUUUAGAAUUCUUUUUAAAUGUAACUAUCUGAAAUAUUUUGCAUUGCCUUGCCAGACAGAUUUUUCUCCUCAAUAAACAUUAUGUUCAAAUCUUCCAACCUUGUUUUUCAUUUUAACCGCACUGGGUUGGAACUCUUCCCAAGGGAUCUAGCAGACUAGCUGAGCUGGCUCAUGAUACACAGCUGGGAAGCCACCAGCUCUUCUGGAGAAGUCGGAUGCUCUGCAGCCGGUAUUUGGCGAGACUGGAGUAAGUGUUUGGCCAAUGAAGACUCAGAGCACCACAUGUGAACAAGAAUUCCAUCCUGACACUAUGAAGAUAAUGAGCUUCUCCUUCCCCAAGAUGCCAUCUGGGAGAAGAAGGACUCAGGUUCCCGUUAUAAACCUGGGAAAAAGUUGCUUUUGGAGAAAAAUAAUCAGUUCUUAA
rnacentral:lncRNA from 1 species